GGGCGUGUGGUCUAGUGGUAUGAUUCUCGCUUUGGGUGCGAGAGGCCCUGGGUUCAAUUCCCAGCUCGCCC
rnacentral:tRNA from 5 species